UAGAAAGAUCACAGUAACUUCAGCACAGCUUAAUGUCAGAAGAGGGUUUGAAAAAUAGGACUUCAGGAAGAUGAUCUUAAAUCUAUUGUUUCAUUGAGCUUGUGACAAGCAGCCUCACAAGAAAGAUUGUUUUUCUUUUAUUCUUUUUCUUUUAAAAAUUUACUUAGCAUUUACUUAGCAUUGUAAUUUUAACAACACUUUCACAUGCCUGCAAUUUUCACAGCUUAUUUCCAGGAGUUCAAAAUAACUUGAGUAAAGGCUGAGUUGCAUUUUCACACAAAGUCUUUUCAACAGGUAGGUUAUACAUCCUGGAAAAGUGUUCAGAUAUGGCUAAACUAAAUCCACAAAUAUUUUAGAUAUCUGUCAGCAACUUGUAGUUGUCCAAUAUUAUUAUUAUUAUUUUUUUUUUUUAAGAUUUUUCUGGCUGUAGUGGCAUUUUUGGAGAGUGUUCACACAGAUGUUUUAUUAAGGCCAACUUCUGCACCCUUUAGAGAACUACUGUACAUUUUAAUAAUGAUUGUUAGGUGUUGUAACCCCAGGGGGCAGCACUGAGCUUCUAAAUUCAGAGGAAAUUCUGACACAGCAAAGUUGGCAAUGGAGAAAAUCUUAAUGUCUGUCAUGAUUCAUGUUCUGUCCUGUCCAUGCUGUGCUUAAACACUCAUUCAGCUCACCUGCCACGCCUGAUUGCUUACCUGUUCCACCUGGUCCCCGCCCUACUUAAACACCUCUCAGCCUCUGCCUCCUUGCCAGAUUAUCAACAGCCACGAGUCAGUAGGGAUCCAGUGUUUCCUUCCAAGCCUUCAGUAUUUUUAUGAUCCUUUUCUGUCCACGGAUCGACCCCCGCCAAGCCCUCCACGGAUCCAAUCUGUUCUGGAUUUCUGGACCCUGAGCCAAGCUUUGCCUCCCGACCACAGAGUAUUGCCUGCCCCUCAAGCUACGUUUGCUCUCUCUGUCCUCCUGUGUAUGACCUCUGCCUGAUUUUUGUCAAAGUCCCUGGGUGUUGCCUCUUGGAUCUCCUUGUGGAGAGUUUCAUUGCUUCCACAAAAGCCUGUUCUACCUGGUUUCUCAGCUCCACCCGUCCACUGCUCUACAGUGCUGUUUGACGACUGCAUCCUGAGCAGCAACCAGAGUCUGAAAAUUUAAUUGAACUUGUUUUUUCCUUUGCAAACUCCUGUGUGUGGUUGAAUUUCCAAGUCCCCACUGAGUGUCCUUACAAAUGUCCAUUAAAAAGUGCUGAAGAUG